UGAAUACGAGACGCUACGGCGUCGAAGCAGUCUAUGUCAUACUUCCAAGAAAAGCUUGCACUGUCAUAAACAAAUAAUGCCUGUACCAUAACCGACACAGGUGGGUAGGUAGAGUAUACUAAGGGGCGCGAGAUAACUCUCUCUAAGGAACUCGGCAAAAUGACUCCGUAACUUCGGGAGAAGGAGUGCCUUAUUUAUAAGGUUGCAAUAACAAGAUCCAAGCAACUGUUUAUCAAAAACACAGGUCUCCGCUAAGUCGUAAGACGAUGUAUGGGGGCUGACGCCUGCCCAGUGCCAGAAGGUUAAAGAAGUUGGUUAGCAUUAGCGAAGCUGAUAACUGAAGCCCUGGUGAACGGCGGCCGUAACAAUAACGGUCCUAAGGUAGCGAAAUUCCUUGUCGGGUAAGUUCCGACCCGCACGAAAGGCGUAAUGAUUUGGAUACUGUCUCAGAGAGGGGCUCGGUGAAAUAGACUUGUCUGUGAAGAUGCGGACUACCUGCACCAGGACAGAAAGACCCUAUGAAGCUUUACUGUAACUUGAAAUUGAAAUUGGACUUUAUUUGCGCAGUAUAGGUGGGAGGCAUUGAUAAUAUUCUUGCGGGAAUGUUGGAGCCAUCAGUGAGAUACCACUCUUGUAAUGUUAGAUUUCUAACUUUGGAUCAUUAUCUGGUCAAAGGACAGUUUCAGGCGGGCAGUUUGACUGGGGCGGUCGCCUCCUAAAUGGUAACGGAGGCGCACAAAGGUUUCCUCUGAACGGGUAGAAAUCGUAUCUAGAGUGUAAAGGCAUAAGGAAGCUUGACUGUGAGACCUACAAGUCGAGCAGGGACGAAAGUCGGUCUUAGUGAUCUGACGGUGCUGAGUGGAAAGGCCGUCACUCAACGGAUAAAAGUUACUCUAGGAUAACAGGCUGAUCUCCCCCAAGAGUUCACAUCGACGGGGAGGUUUGGCACCUCGAUGUCGGCUCAUCGCAUCCUGGGGCGGUAGUACGUCCCAAGGGUUGGGCUGUUCGCCCAUGAAAGCGGUACGCGAGCUGGGUUCAGAACGUCGUGAGACAGUUCGGUCCAUAUCCGGUGUAGGCGUUAGAAUAUUGAGAGGAGCCUUCUUUAGUACGAGAGGACCGAGAAGGACAUACCUCUGGUGUACCAGUUAUCGUGCCAACGGUAAACGCUGGGUAGCUAUGUAUGGAGAGGAUAACCGCUGAAAGCAUCUAAGUGGGAAGCCCACCUCAAGAUAAGUAUUCUCA
rnacentral:rRNA from 1 species